UACAGAGGUCCCAAGCGUUGUUCGGAUUCAUUGGGCGUAAAGGGUGCGUAGGUGGCGCCGUAAGUGGGGUGUGAAAUUCGGAGCUUAACUCCGAAACUGCAUUCCAUACUGCGGUGCUUGAGGACUGGAGAGGAGACUGGAAUUUACGGUGUAGCAGUGAAAUGCGUAGAGAUCGUAAGGAAGACCAGUGGCGAAGGCGGGUCUCUGGACAGUUCCUGACACUGAGG
rnacentral:rRNA from 1 species